GAGCGAGUAGAGUGGCGCACGGGUGAGUAACACGUAGGUAAUCUACCUUCGGAUGGGGAAUAACAACCGGAAACGGUUGCUAAUACCGCAUAAUGCAGCGGCACCUAAUGGUGACAGUUGUUAAAGCGGGAGAUCGAAAGACCUCGCGUCUGAAGAGGAGCCUGCGGCAGAUUAGCUAGUUGGUAAGGUAACGGCUUACCAAGGCGAUGAUCUGUAGCCGGCCUGAGAGGGCGGUCGGCCACACUGACACUGACAUACGGGUCAGACUCCUACGGGAGGCAGCAGUCGGGAAUUUUGGGCAAUGGGCGAAAGCCUGACCCAGCAACGCCGCGUGAAGGAUGAAAUCCCUCGGGAUGUAAACUUCGCAAGAACGGGAAGAAUAAGUCGGUGUUAACACCACCGGCGAUGACGGUACUGUUUGUAAGCUCCGGCUAACUCCGUGCCAGCAGCCGCGGUAAUACGGGGGGAGCAAGCGUUGUUCGGAUUUACUGGGCGUAAAGGGCGCGUAGGCGGCCACCGC
rnacentral:rRNA from 1 species